rnacentral:sRNA from 1 species
UGCAUUCGUGUUGAACGAUGCACCGGCUUA